GGGGCCGUAGCUCAGCUAGGCAGAGCGACGGGCUCAUAACCCGUUGGUCGCCGGUUCGAGUCCGGCCGGCCCCACCA
rnacentral:tRNA from 2 species